CGAUAACGAACGAGACCUCGACCUACUAAAUAGUUUGCCGAACUCUUUGGGUUCGCGCACGCUUCUUAGAGGGACUAUCGGUGGUUAGCCGAUGGAAGUUCGAGGCAAUAACAGGUCUGUGAUGCCCUUAGAUGUUCUGGGCCGCACGCGCGCUACACUGAUACGUUCAUCGAGUUUACAACCUUGACCGGAAGGUCUGGGUAAUCUUUGAAAGCGUAUCGUGAUGGGGAUAGAUUAUUGUAAUUUUUAAUCUUCAACGAGGAAUUCCUAGUAAUCGCGCGUCAUUAACGCGCAAUGAUUACGUCCCUGCCCUUUGUACACACCGCCCGUCGCUACUACCGAUUGAAUGGCU
rnacentral:rRNA from 1 species